rfam:Clostridium baratii str. Sullivan, complete genome.
UUAAAUAAUAGAAGCAUUGAAAUAUAUCCUGUAUAUGGGCACUUGGGGUAUGUGGAGCUAGUAGUGCAACCGGCUAAUAUACUU